ACUUCAUCGUUUCUCCAUUUACAGCCGUUUGCGGAACAGCGACCGUGGAAAUCUGACUCUAUUUUACAAACCAGGGCAAGUCACUCAGGGAGGCAGACGCCUGGUACAACGGCGUGCCCAUGCAUCCCCGCCGCCCAGCGCUCACCACGGAAGUGAUAAAGGUGAAAGAUGAAGCUCCAUGUGGCUACAGACCCAAGUUUUCAAACUCAACAUUGGAACAAGUCCACGGACUGUUUGAAGUCCAGGAAGCCUGGUUGUGUGGCCCCUCAGGUGUGCUGUGUGCCCUCCAGGACCUGUUCUGUCAGAGCACGGCUUUGGCCUGAUCACCACCGACAUCCGGGAGGGACAGACUUUCUACUACGCAGAGGAUUACCACCAGCAGUACCUGAGCAAGAUCCCCAACGGGUACUGCGGCCUCGGGGGCACCGGAGUGUCCUGCCCAUGGAGUAUUUAUUAUGGACCCAGAAUUCACAUGCUGGAACCCUAUCCCCCAGUGUGUCUGUAUUUGUUGAUGGGGCCACUAAGGAAGAAAUUAAGGUUAAAUGAGGUCAUAAGGGUGGGGCCCUGAUCCUAUAGGAUUAGUGUCCUUACAAGAAGGCAUAGCAGAGUGGUCUCUCUCCGUCCAUGAGCCUGUACUGAGGCCGUAAGAGGACACAGUGAAAAGGCAGUGUUCUGCAAACAGGGAAGAGAGGCCUCACCAGGAACUGGGUAGGCUGUC